GCUUCCGGCCUUUGUGGGUCACUUUUGAUGGGUUCCGGGUCCUAAAAGGGUUCGAGGCCUCCUGCCUUCGCUCCGUAGAAGGGAGUUCUCUUCUGGACCUGGGGGCCGCAGGACUGUCCAGGAAUACAUUUUCCAGGUGAGAUCUUACUUGAAACACCGGUAGUUCCAACACAGCUAAAAUGGCAUCUACUUGGGCUAUCCAGGCCCACAUGGACCAGGAUGAACCUUUGAAAGUAAAGAUACAGGAGGAGAAAUAUACCACCAAACAGGAUUGGGACCUGCAUAAAAACAACACCCAUAGCAGAGAGGUCUUCCGUCAGUACUUCAGACAGUUCUGCUACCAGGAGACAUCUGGUCCCCGUGAGGCUUUGAGCCGACUUCGAGAACUUUGCCAUCAGUGGCUGAGGCCAGAGACCCACACCAAAGAACAGAUUCUGGAGCUGCUGGUGCUGGAGCAGUUCCUGACUAUCCUACCUGAGGAGCUGCAGGCCUGGGUGCAGGAGCAGCAUCCAGAGAGUGGGGAGGAGGUGGUGACUGUGCUGGAGGAUUUAGAGAGAGAACUGGAUGAACCAGAAGAGCAGGUCUCAGCCCACACUGGGGAACAGGAAAUGUUCUUGCAGGAGAUGGUACCUCUAGGAAAAGAAGGAGAACCCAGUAUGUCCCUCCAGUCCAUGAAAGCCCAGCCAAAGUAUGACUCUCCAGAACCUGAAUCCCAACAGGAGCAAGUUUUAGAUGUUGAGACUGGAAAUGAGUAUGGGAAUUUAAAGCAAGAAGUUUCUGAAGAAAUGGAACCACAUGGGAAUACAUCCAGUAAAUUUGAAAAUGAUAUGUCCAAGUCUGCUAGGUGUGGAGAAACUCAUGAACCUGAAGAAAUAACAGAAGAGUCCUCUGCGUGCUCCAGAGAAGAUAAACAACCUACCUGUGAUGAAAACGGAGUAAGCCUGACUGAGAACUCUGACCAUACGGAACAUCAGAGAAUCUGUCCAGGAGAAAAAUCAUAUGGAUGUGAUGACUGUGGAAAAGCUUUUAGUCAGCACUUACACCUCAUAGAACAUCAGAGGAUCCAUACUGGAGACAGACCCUACAAAUGUGAAGAAUGUGGAAAAGCUUUCCGUGGGAGAACUGUGCUUAUUCGACACAAAAUAAUACACACUGGAGAGAAACCAUAUAAGUGUAAUGAGUGUGGCAAAGCCUUUGGCCGGUGGUCAGCUCUUAACCAACAUCAGAGACUUCACACAGGAGAAAAACACUAUCACUGUAAUGACUGUGGCAAAGCCUUUAGUCAGAAAGCAGGCCUCUUUCACCAUAUCAAGAUCCACACAAGAGACAAACCUUAUCAGUGUACUCAGUGUGAUAAAAGUUUUAGUCGGCGUUCCAUACUUACUCAGCAUCAAGGAGUUCAUACUGGCAUGAAGCCCUAUGAGUGCAACGAGUGUGGAAAAGCCUUUGUUUAUAACUCAUCCCUGGUUUCCCAUCAGGAAAUCCACCACAAAGAAAAAUGCUAUCAGUGUAAGGAAUGUGGGAAAUCCUUCAGUCAGAGUGGCCUUAUUCAGCAUCAGAGAAUUCACACUGGGGAAAAACCCUACAAAUGUGAGGUAUGUGAAAAGGCCUUUAUUCAAAGGACAAGUCUUACAGAACAUCAGCGAAUUCACACUGGAGAAAGACCCUAUAAAUGUGAUAAGUGUGGGAAGGCAUUUACUCAAAGAUCGGUCCUCACGGAACAUCAGAGAAUCCACACUGGAGAAAGGCCCUACAAGUGUGAUGAGUGUGGGAAUGCCUUCCGAGGAAUCACCAGCCUCAUUCAGCAUCAGAGAAUCCACACUGGGGAGAAGCCCUACCAAUGUGAUGAGUGUGGAAAAGCCUUCAGACAGAGGUCAGAUCUUAGUAAACACCAGAGAAUCCAUAAUAGAGGUGGUCCCUAUGUAUGUAAAGAGUGUGGGAAAUCAUUCAGGCAGAACUCAGCUCUUACUCAACAUCAGACUAUCCACAAAGGAGAAAAAUCUGUUUCUGUGUGAUCACUACAGGGAAGUUAUCUCACAGAGUUCAGGCCGGAAGAAGACCAGCUACAAGGAAAUACUUCUGAAAAAUCACUCUGAACCCCAAGCUGGAGUGAAUCUUCUCCUGAGCUCUCUCAUUCCAGAAUGGCAAUCUUGUUGCAGGAAAGAUCUCUAAUAGUGACUGAUGGUAAAGGAAGAAGGCUGUGCCUAGAACAAAGAAUCAGGCUGGCAAAGAAAUCACAAACUUUAAAUUGUUACUCUCUGGAGAUAGCUACCUGGACUUUACAGAGCUCUCAGAAGACUUGGGAAGGUUUGCCAGCAUUGGAAAAAGCCACUUGGACUUCACAGAGCUGUCAGAUGACUUAGGAAGCUUUGCCAGUAGUUCCUGAGACCAGAAAUACAUAUUAUGAAGCAGGUGCUGGAACAGGCCCUGGCCCCUACUUGUGAAGCUGCAGAUAUAGAUGGUGUUACUGAGAAGGAAACUAAGGACUUGGCUCCAAAACAAAAACAAGCAAAAAUCUGGAGAUGCUGAAUUUUGUUGGGGGGAAUGUCUGUAGAACUGCAACAUCAAUGCAGUAAGGGUAGUAAAAGCUUUAGUUUCUGGUGAGUCAUUACUCAGCAUCAUGGAUGGAGUCCACGAUGAAGAGAAUCUCUUCGCAAUCUCUGCAAUCAACAAGUUUUGAAAGGCUUUUGUUUAUAGUGGAACCCUCUUUUCCCCCCAGAAGAACCACCACAAGGAAAAAUGCUGUCAGCAUAAGGAAUGUGGGAAAGUUUUCAGCCACAUGGCCUUAUUUGACUUCAAAGAAUCCACAUGAGAGAGAGACUGCAUAAAUGUGAUAACUGAGGAGGCCUUUGUUCAGCAAGGAAACCUUAUACAAACAUGUAUGAAGAAUGUAGGAAGACCUUCACCCAGAAGCCAGGACUGACUGUGCACCAGAGAAUCUGCACAAUAAACGUGGUGAAUGUGGAGAUGCUUUCUUCAGCGUUGGAGAAUUCACAGUAAAGGGAAACCCUGCCAGUGUGAUGAGUAUGGAAAAGUCUUCAGAGGUUGGAACUUGGGAAAAAUCAGUGAGUGAAUUCAUAUUAGAGAGGCUCUUAUAAAUGAGAGGAUUAUGGGAACUUGUAUAGACAGAGAUCAGACCUCAAUAAGGGAAUCUCCACAGUAUUGAAAAGUUAAUAUAAUUAAUGUAAGUGGGCAAGUUGUAUGGGGAAUGGGUAGUCUAAAUUGCUCAUUUUAGCUAGUAAAAACAUUAAAUGAAUUUUUUAGAUCAAGAAAAGGAAAUGUUAGAAGUUAUUUUCCCUUCCAGAGGGGUCUAUAUGUGUAAGCAAUCAGGACUUUUGAAAUAAGUUGCAUCUCUGGAUUUGUGAUCUGUCUCCUGGAUGAUUAUCUCUGUUUUGGGGGACAGGCAUUUUUUUCUUCAUGCCUGUUCUAGUCUCAUCUCAUAUCUUUAAUUAAUUCAGCAAGUAUACACAAUAGUAUUAUCGUCUACUGUUUGUUGUAAAUAUAUAUAUAUAUAUAUAUAUUAUUUUCUUUAUGGUCUGAGUAGGCUUGUAUUGGUACCCUAGGACACAAAAAGCACAUAUAUCCUGUUUCAGUAAAUGUAGUGAAAGGAACUACAUUAUUAAAUUGCUGGGCAUUUCUAUAAAUUUGGGACUACCUUUAUAUUCUCCAACACAAGACCAUGUAGGUGUCCGUUCAGAGAGUAUAUUUUUCCAGCUUUGGCUUCUUUAUUUUCUUUCUUUCUUUAUUUUUUUGAGAUGGAGUCUUGCUCUUGUUGCCCAGGCUGGAGUGCAAUGGCACGAUCUUGGCUCACUGCAACCUCCGCCCUCUGGGUUCAAGCGAUUCUCCUGCCUCAGUCUCCCGAGUAGCUGGGAUCACAGGUGCUUGCCACCACGCCCAGCUAAUUUUUGUAUUUUUAGUAGAGAUUGGGUUUCACCAUGUUGGCCAGGCUGGUCUCGAACUCCUGACCUCGUGAUCCACCCACCUUGGCCUCCCAAAGUGCUGGGAUUAUAGGCAUAAGCCACUGUGCCCAGCUGUUUUUUUAAGAUAGAAAAAAAAUAUACUUCACAUGUAGCAUAUUGACAGGUAAUGACUACUAUUUUUUCUUAUAGCUAACACAUAAUAAACAUUGUGAAGACUAAUAUGUUAAGUAACUUGCUUAUUCUUUUCAGUUCUAAAACCUAUAGGAAAGAAUCUUUAGAAGCUGUCAACAAGUUGAUAAUGUAGCCCAAUCUCUACCCAUGAUAGGAGAGUAAGGCUUACAUAUUUUAUAGUAGGGCACUAAAUACAGGAACCGUGUAUUUAAAAACUUUUUAGUGAUUUUCUCAGAAUUCUAGGUUUCUCUCUGCUGUACAUCCCUAAAUCUUUUGCAUAGGUAUUAAUACAUUCAUUAUUUUUAAAGAUGGACUGCAUUCUGUAAAAGGCUUUUCCAGUAUAUGUAAAUCACACAGUUUUUUUUAACUCUAUUACUAUUAUAUAAAAUGAUUUCUUAAUAUUGAACCAACCUUGCAUUCCUAGAAUAAACCUCACUUAGCCAUGA